rnacentral:siRNA from 1 species
UGAUGUCGAACUGCAACUUGAUGU